rnacentral:rRNA from 1 species
UACGUAGGGUGCAAGCGUUAAUCGGAAUUACUGGGCGUAAAGCGUGCGCAGGCGGUUUUGUAAGUCUGUCGUGAAAUCCCCGGGCUUAACCUGGGAAUGGCGAUGGAGACUGCAAGGCUAGAGUUUGGCAGAGGGGGGUAGAAUUCCACCUGUAGCAGUGAAAUGCGUAGAGAUGUGGAGGAACACCGAUGGCGAAGGCAGCCCCCUGGGUCAAAACUGACGCUCAUGCACGAAAGCGUGGGGAGCAAACAGG